AUGGAGUCUGAUGACUCUCUGCAUACUACUCUUCUCAUUGAAACCAUGGCAUAUGAUCAGGAGCAGGGAGAGAAAGAAAAAGUUGUGGAAAUGGUGGGCCAACAUGAUUCGGCGCUGAAAGUGACCAGUGAGUACAUGGUGGAGUCCCCUGAGAUGAAUGCUAAGGUGAUUCCCACUCCCCCUUUAGUCACUGAGGAGAAUCUGCGCUUCAGUUUGAGGAAUGUGCAGAAUAAACUGGAGCGAGUGGAGGACAAGGCUACGGCUGCGGCAAAAAAGAGGAACAUGGAAGAUUGGUCACUUCCCUAUGAAAUAUUUAGGGGUGCCUGUGAGCUAUUCUAUACUCCGUGCUUUAGACUGGAGCUUUGUGGAUGA
rnacentral:rRNA from 1 species